GUAACACCGUCACAGGUUCCAGGGACGAGUAUGUGGACAUCUUUGCGGGGCCAUUAUUCUGCCUACCACACAAAGCAACGAAAAAUACACGUGCAGUCAAGACAGAACGUCCACAGGUGUGGGGAGGAAACGCACAGGAAUACGUGGAGCGGGACUUCACCUUGUUGUGGUGAAACAGCACUGGGCGCUGACUCCUGGACUCUGAGUUUUAGUUUCCUCGCCUAUAAAAACAGAGCGGCUAGACUGGAGGCUUCCAAACCAUGCUCCCCCAAGCCCUUGCGUUUCUUCAAGAUUGCUCCAGGGCCACUGCAGAGAGGAGGCCCAGCAAGCAGAACCUGGACCCUCCCUGAGAUGCUCAUCCCAAUGACUAGAGCCUCCGUGACGAUGGCAUUGGAGGGUGUGGCUUUGCACACCAAAGAAUGCAGCACUCUCACCACGCCUUCAGUGUGCCCUAAAGAGGGAACAGAGUACCUGCGCACUUCAGCUCCAACCGCCUGGUGGAGAAGGAGGCUUGUUAGCUGCUGACAGUCCUGAGCCUCCUCACUGGCCGCACAUGGCUCGCACGCAGGACCCUCACGGUCAGACCUGGCCUCACAGCCCUGCACAGUGCACGAGGAGACCAAAGCUAACAAGGUCUUGGUAAAAACCAUUCCAGUGCCAUGUGGCCACCAAGAAUGAACCCUGGACUAGAAUGCAGCUUCCUUCAUGUGCAAAGUUUCUCCCAUAGAGCUGGAGAGCAUCCUCUCUAUUCUAGAACCGUGCUGUCCAAUGUGGUAACCACUAACCCUGUGUGCCUGUCGAGUGCUGGAAAUGUGGCUGGUCUGGUUUGUGACAUGCUGUUAAGUGUAAAAUACACACUGGAAUUUGGAAGACUUGAUAUGAGAAAAGAAUGUAAAAUAUCUCAAUAGGUUUUACAUGGAUUACACAUUGACAUGAUAAAAUUUUGGACAGAUUGAGUAAAUAAAAAUGUAUCAGAAUUAAUUCA
rnacentral:lncRNA from 1 species